rnacentral:rRNA from 1 species
AACGAACGCUGGCGGCAUGCCUAACACAUGCAAGUCGAACGAGACCUUCGGGUCUAGUGGCGCACGGGUGCGUAACGCGUGGGAACCUGCCCUUAGGUUCGGAAUAACUCCCCGAAAGGGGUGCUAAUACCGGAUAAUGUCUUCGGACCAAAGAUUUAUCGCCUUUGGAUGGGUCCGCGUUGGAUUAGCUAGUUGGUAGGGUAAAAGCCUACCAAGGCGACGAUCCAUAGCUGGUCUGAGAGGAUGAUCAGCCACACUGGGACUGAGACACGGCCCAGACUCCUGCGGGGGGAGGCAGGGGGGAAAAGUGGACACGGGGAGAAAGCCUGAACAAGCAAUGCCGGGGGGGUGAAAAAGCCCUUGGGGUGGAAAAGCUCUUUUCCCCGGGAGGAAAAGAAAAGAACCGGGGAAAAAAGCCCCGGCAAACCCCGG